rnacentral:rRNA from 1 species
AGUAUCAUUAAGUGAAUACAUAGCUUAAUGAGGGGAACUCAGGGAACUGAAACAUCUAAGUACCUGAAGGAAGAGAAAGAAAUUCGAUUCCGUAAGUAGCGGCGAGCGAACGCGGAUUAGCCCAAACCAAUAAAGUUUUCUUUAUUGGGGUUGCGGACAUAUCAUAACGAAGAGGUAUCGUAAUUGAAGAGGUUUGGAAAGACCCACCACAGAAGGUAAUAGUCCUGUAUGUUAAACGAGAAGACUUUAGAUAUGAUCCAGAGUACCACGGGACACGUGAAACCCUGUGGGAAGCAGGAGGGACCACCCUCCAAGGCUAAAUACUACCUAGUGACCGAUAGCGUAUAGUACCGUGAGGGAAAGGUGAAAAGAACCCCGGGAGGGGAGUGAAAUAGAACCUGAAACCCUGCACUUACAAGCUGUGGAAGCACAUUUCUUGUGUGACCGCGUACUUUUUGUAGAACGGGCCAACGAGUUACGUUAAGUAGCAAGGUUAAGCACUUAAGGUGCGGAGCCGUAGCGAAAGCGAGUUUUAACUGAGCGUUCAGUUACUUGACGUAGACCCGAAACCGGGCGACCUACCCAUGAGCAGGAUGAAGCGAAAGUAAAAUUUCGUGGAGGUCCGAACCCACGAGCGUUGAAAAGCUCGGGGAUGACUUGUGGGUAGCGGUGAAAUUCCAAUCGAGCCCGGAGAUAGCUGGUUCUCCCCGAAAUAGCUUUAGGG